rnacentral:rRNA from 1 species
AACGAACGCUGGCGGCAGGCUUAACACAUGCAAGUCGAACGCCCCGCAAGGGGCGUGGCAGACGGGUGAGUAACGCGUGGGAACAUACCCUUUUCUACGGAAUAGCUCUGGGAAACUGGAAUUAAUACCGUAUACGCCCUACGGGGGAAAGAUUUAUCGGGGAAGGAUUGGCCCGCGUUGGAUUAGCUAGUUGGUGGGGUAAAGGCCUACCAAGGCGACGAUCCAUAGCUGGUCUGAGAGGAUGAUCAGCCACAUUGGGACUGAGACACGGCCCAAACUCCUACGGGAGGCAGCAGUGGGGAAUAUUGGACAAUGGGCGCAAGCCUGAUCCAGCCAUGCCGCGUGAGUGAUGAGGGCCUUAGGGUUGUAAAGCUCUUUCACCGAUGAAGAUAAUGACGGUAGUCGGAGAAGAAGCCCCGGCUAACUUCGUG